AUGACUAUGAGGAUGCUGGUGAGACUUUCUUCCCCAAGCGCGCAAGCCAAACGCAUCAUCGCUAUUUCCGCGCGAGGUAGCUCAACACAUCGUCCACAUCCUCUACAACGCCAACAUCCUUUGAAGUUUGAACUGCAGAUGGAGCUGAUGGCAUUAAGACAGGAACCCACUAUAGAAUUUGAGAGCCGGCUGGUGUCCGCUGGAGGAAGACAAUGCCAAAGUGCCAUUGGUUGGAGGAUGUUGACUUCGAAGUGUCGUUCGCCGGAGGAAGAUGAUGUACAAGGUGUAACCUAUAAUCUAGAGGACAAUUAA
rnacentral:rRNA from 1 species